rnacentral:rRNA from 1 species
AGAAUCAACGCUGGCGGCGUGCCUCAGACAUGCAAGUCGAACGAUUAAAGCUCCCUUCGGGGAGUGCAUAAAGUGGCGCACGGGUGAGUAACACGUAAGUAAUCUACCCUCGAGUGGGGAAUAACAUCGGGAAACCGAUGCUAAUACCGCAUAAUGCAGCGGCACCGCAAGGUGACAGUUGUUAAAGAUUUAUUGCUUGAGGAGGAGCUUGCGGCAGAUUAGCUUGUUGGUAAGGUAACGGCUUACCAAGGCUACGAUCUGUAUCCGGUCUAAGAGGACGGUCGGACACACUGACACUGAAUAACGGGUCAGACUCCUACGGAGGCAGCAGUCGGGAAUUUGGGCAAUGGGGGAAACCCUGACCCAGCAACGCCGCGUGAAGGAUGAAGUAUUUCGGUAUGUAAACUUCGAAAGAAUAAGAAGAAUUAAUGACGGUAACUAGUUUAAUAAGGUCCGGCUAACUACGUGCCAGCAGCCGC